AUACGUUGCAAAACGCUCGACUCCAUCGUGUUGUGCACGACCUGCAAGCCGCUCCCCACAAUCGCUGCGUCCCGCCGCCCGCCGGAAUGCCCUGCGCGAGCCUUCCCAGAGUCGUCAUCCGUCACCAGCGCAGCGGCUUCCGCCCUGCACAACACGAUGACCGGUCAUCGUCUUUGGCGACGCGAGGACCUUGUCGGCGAGGACGCCGCUGCCGCCCAGAUCGAUGCCGUGUGAAGUACGAUGCAGUCGUCCUCGGUGCUUGUUCAACAACCUGAAGGAACCGCCGCCUACAAGGUAGCACCCGCACCCGAAAACUGCCGCUGAGGUUGAUCGACAUCCUCCCAGAUCGGGGGGAGCCCGCACCACGACGACGGGUUCGGCCGUCCAUGCCGGAGCCGAUCCAGCGCGGCGACGUUGGUCCGGACGGAUUCAGUCCACCUUCUCGCCACCGUUACCGGCACCUACUGUCUAGGAUGUGCGGGUGCUCCAUCAGCAACGAAACUCAAGUCCCUCCAACUCUCAGAUUUGGUAUUCUCUACCUUAGUCCCCUUUGUUGCUGUGUCGAUGAAACUUAAUGUAAUGAUUCAUGAAUCCCAGCUUUUUUUUGUGCUAAGAUUCAUUUUCUAGGAUUUCCAUGAACAGUUUGUUCACUACUUGCAGCUAAAGUAUAGUACAAUACCUUCAGAUGUUGUUGAAACUGCAUUACACGGUCCUGUAAGCCAUCACUUUACCCAAUCACUCAAUGUUUCCUUUCCAGGAUAGAUUGAUAUUGUUCGUUGCAAUCUUGAUUUGAGCCCCCAGGAGCAAAAUCGGUUGGCACUAUCUCAGUUAUUUCACCCCAUAAUAAUAAGCUGACGACUAUCACCAUGGACUGGAUACAGUGGUUGGUGAGCAUGGAACACAACUAUCCGGCUCACAGCAAGAUAAUUUUUAAGAACCCGACUAUACUGCUUUCUGAUGAAGCUACAAGUGCACUUGAUGCGGAGUCUAAACGUGUUGUUAAAGAUGCACUAAAUAAUAUCAUGGUGUACAGAGCCACCAGACUUGUGGCGCAUCGCCUGAGCAGUGUCAAAAAUUCGAACACAAUAUCGGUGCUACAUUGUGGACAGCUUGUGGAACAAAGUAACCUGAAUUUCUUCAUCACUUUUCAGCCAGCCUUACUGCAAUGAUCCAGCAAGGGUGAAAUUUCACGUUUCCUGACAAGAAUAAAAACAAGCUAUAAUGGGUGUUUGCACAACAAGACCACAGGCUGAGUUGGUAAAGAACUUCAAAGGAGUAUACUCUCAACUUUUACGGCAGUCUACAUUCUAUUGCUGUUAUGCACUUAUGCUACAUACUCAGUUAUUAAAAUGAUCCAUGUGAUAGCAAUUUUGAGGGCUUAUAUGAAUUCAUGUAUGCAUGUUCAAGAUAUUUAUAAUUAUUUUUAGGAAUAACUAGGCACUUACAUAUUCCACAAGUCCAUUACAUGAUUUGUGAUAUUUGUAUGCCUUUAAAAUAAUUUCCAUUUUUCGUGUAUUCUUGAUUCUCAAGCAUUGUUCCAAGGUAUAUUGUCUAUUAUUCUUUUCACGCCCACUGUAUCAUUGUGUAGUUAUUUCCAGAUUGUAUUAUUGUGUAGUUAUUUCCAGAUUGGUUCCUAUUCAUGGUAAAAUUUAUAUCAGUUUUGUUGGUGCGAAAAAUGAAUGUAAUACAGAAAAGUUUUGUUGUACGUUUUGUUCCUUUUCCCAGUUUUGGUUGUCGACAAGUUUUUUUUCAGUGUUUGUCUGAAUAAUACAUAUAAACGGACAAGUUUGCUUGUAAUUACUGUUCUUGAUGUUAAGGUCGAUCUAUAAAUAAAUCUCUGUAUACCUGUACCAGGUGAUUGUGAAUUUGUUCUCGAUGUACUUGAUGCUGCAUCUGCAGCGGCAGAGGGUUCUGAUGAUAAACAUCUUAUCCAAACUUCACUGGCAGUGUGUUUGAAUUUUACAUGCUUCACAUUGGUGAAAUCAUACGUGGGGAGUUGGCCAGCAUGAAGUUACCACAGGCUUAUGGUGUUCUGGUCUAUCACCAAUUCAGGCUGUCAAUGUCUAAUCCAAUGGGCACAGUAUUGAGCGAAGUGAUAGAUUAUGUUCACCGCAGUACGAGCCGGUGAGCCGUGCGGCCCCCGGUCCAGGAUAACAUACUUUUCUUUUUGGAGCAUGUGUAUGUUCAUCGGUCUUUUGUCUUGUCCGACUGAUUUUUCCAUUAUGCGUUGUUCAACAGGUUAAGGAAAGUUCCCUCAGGAAUCUAUACUACAAGGAUACAUAUUUAGUUGCCGUUGUAAAUUAGACUAGGGUGUUUGAAGUUAGCAUUAUUCUUACAUAGUUCUCCUGAUGCAAUUAUAUAGCUCUGUAGGUUCUCACAUUUAGAUAUAUUGCCUUGCAAUGUGCUCAAGAGUGUAGCAGAUUAAUUUCAUUUCGUAGAUGAAAAGUUGAUAAGUACAUGAAAGAAUACAGGCAAAGAUGUUUUUAUUUUACUUCCA